CCUACGGGAGGCAGCAGUGGGGGAUAUUGCACAAUGGGGGGAACCCUGAUGCAGCGACGCCGCGUGGGUGAAGGAGUGCUUCGGCAUGUAAAGCCCUAUCGGCAGGGAAGAAGCAAGACGUUACCUGACUAAGCAGCCCCGGCUAACUACGUGCCAGCAGCCGCGGUAAUACGGAGGGGGCGAGCGUUAUCCGGAUUCACUGGGUGUAAAGGGAGCGUAGACGGCCAUGCAAGCCAGGGGUGAAAGCCCGGGGCCCAACCCCGGGACUGCCCUUGGAACUGCAUGGCGGGAGUGCGGGAGGGGCAGGCGGAAUUGCUGGUGUAGCGGUGAAAUGCGUAGAUAUCAGGAGGAACACCGGCGGCGAAGGCGGCCUGCUGGACCGCGACUGACGUUGAGGCUCGAAAGCGUGGGGAGCGAACAGGAUUAGAUACCCUGGUAGUC
rnacentral:rRNA from 1 species